rnacentral:lncRNA from 1 species
AGAGAUGUCAACGGGUCGGAUUCGGGGCGGAUUUUUAAAAACCCGAACCCGAACCCGACUCUAAACCCGAGACCCGAACCCGAACCCGAACCCGAUGGAUUUUAAAAAUCCAUAUCCAAACCCGAACCCGACCAAAAAUCCGAAACCCGAACCCGAACCCGAACCCGAAAAUUUGAACCUGAAACAAUUAUUUCUUUUUUCAAUAUUUCAAAAUAUAUUAUAUUAAAUUUAAAUUUUUAAAAUACAAAUUCAAAUAUAACAUCAAAUUUUUAUAUAUAUAUUAUAUAUAAUACAAAAUAAAUUCGGAUUUGGGUCGGGUUCGGGUUCGGGUCGGGUACAAUCAAAAUCCAUAUCCGAAUCCAUAUUCAUCGGGUUUCUAUUUUUGAUAUCCAUAUCCGAAUCCAUAUCCAUAUCCAUCGGAUAUAUCCGUUUCAUUCGGGUUCGGGUUCGAAUAAAAUCUCGGGUAUCCAUACCCAUUGAC